rnacentral:lncRNA from 10 species
GAGAUGGAGUCUCGCUCUGUCACCCAGUCUGGAGUGCAGUGGUGCGAUCUCAGCUCACCGCAACCUUGCCUCCCGGGUUCAAGCAAUUCUCCUGCCUCAGCCUCCCGAGUAGCUAGCACUGUAGGGAUGGCCACUGCGCCUGGCUAACUUUUGUAUUUUCAGUAGGGAAGGGUGAGUCAGCAUGUUGGCCAGGCUGUCUUGAACUCCUGACCUCAAGUGAUCCACUCCCCUUGGUCUCCCAAAGUUAAGGGAUUACAGGCCUGAGCCACUGUGCCUGGCCUAAAAUUUUUCAUUUUUCAUGUAAAUUAAAGCUAAUAAGGGCCAGUUUUUAUUCUCUAACCAAGACCUUUUAAGUUAAAUUGAUCUUUAACUACACACACACACCCCUGCCCAAGGGUACAGUUCUACUUUCUACUAGUAGUAACUCUCCUUUUCCACUUUAAUUUUGAGGAAAAUUAUUUACACAGCUGACCCUUGAACACAGGUUUGAAAUGUGUGGGUCCACUUACAUAUAUGGAUUUUUUUUCAAUAAAAUUUUUCAGAGAUUUCAACAAUUUGAAAAAACCUGCAGAUGAAACACAUAGACUAGAAAUAUCAAAAAGUUAAGAAAAAGUUAGGUUUAUGUCAUGACUACAUAAAAUAUAUGUAGAUUAGUCUGUUUUAUCAUUUACUGCCAUAAAAUAUACACAAACCUAUUAUAAAAAGUUAAAAUUCAUCAAAACAUAUGCACACAAACCUUAAGACCAGACAUAAUACCACUUGUAGUCAAGAUAAAUGUAAACAAAUGCAAAGAUGCAGCAUUAAAUCAUAGCUACCUAAUAUUAACUGUAGUACAUACUAUACUACUGUUAAAAUCUCAUAGCUAACUUCUGUUGCUACUGCAGUGAACUCCAGGGUUGCAAGAAUCUGUUUAAAACACUGUGUGACACUAAUCAUCUCUGUAUGAUCAGCUCAUCUCUCCAGUAAAUUGUGUAUUGCAAUCAAAAGCUAUCUCUCUCACGGCUCUUGUGUGUUUUUCUUUUCUUUUCUUUUUCUUUUCUUUUUUUUUGCGACAGAGUCUCCCUCUAUCAUCCAGGCUGGAGUGCAGACUGUCUCAAACAAAAAAACAAAACAAACAAGCAAAAAAAAAAAAAAAAAAAAAAAACAAAAAAAGGGAAAUAAAUAUGAAUGUUUACUUUAUGUGCCAUCAUUCUGGAACACAGCUGGGGGUAUGCAUGGGACAGGGAGAAGGCAAGGGAGAGGGAAACAGCAGUAGUGUUUCUAAGUAACUUUGUCAUGUAAAAGGAGUUUACCUCUUUAAACUCAAAUUUUGGAAGUCCUUUCAAAAAUACAUACUUACUAGCAUUCUCAGGAUGUUUUAACUCUUUCUUCAUAGUUUAAACAUGUGAGUUAUCUAAUAUUGAAACUUAAGUGCAGAUGCAGAUAGUGUGGAGCACAGGACUAGAUGAGAACCAACCCUAGAAGUUGCCCUGUGGCAUGCUUUCUUGGAAGAAAAAAAUCACCAACAGCUUACUUUUGAAUAAUCUUCACAUGUUCAUAAAGCAAAAGUGUCAAAU